GGUCCUGCCUGCCCUGUGACCCCUGUUUCAACGGCCGCGGUAUUUUGACCGUGCAAAGGUAGCGCAAUCACUUGUCUCUUAAAUGAGGACCUGUAUGAAUGGCACGACGAGGGCUUAACUGUCUCCUUUCCCCGGUCAGUGAAAUUGAUCUUCCCGUGCAGAAGCGGGAAUCCUAACAUAAGACGAGAAGACCCUAUGGAGCUUUAGACUUCAGAACAGAUCAUGUAAGCUACCCCCGUGAAAUAGGUAAUAACUAUUGAAUUUCUGUUCCCCUGUCUUUGGUUGGGGCGACCACGGGGAAGAAAAAAACCCCCAUGUGGACCAGGAGCACAUUACUCCUACAACCAUGAGCCACAGCUCUAAUGCACAAAAUUUUUGACCAUUAGAUCCGGCAAAGCCGAUCAACGGACCAAGUUACCCUAGGGAUAACAGCGCAAUCCCCUUUAAGAGUCCAUAUCGACAAGGGGGUUUACGACCUCGAUGUUGGAUCAAGACAUCCUAAUGGUGCAGCCGCUAUUAAGGGUUCGUUUGUUCAACGAUUAAAGUCUU
rnacentral:rRNA from 1 species